GGCAGCAGCAGUGGUUAUGGUAGCAGGGAAUACAGCUGAUGCUAUUUCAUUUUACCUUCUGCUGUGUUACUGCUCCCAUCCCCUGUGAGUUUGAGGGCCUCUUUUUAGGAUUCCAAAGAGCUGGAACAAAGAUGAUAUUUAAGCAUGAAACACUGAGGAGGAAAACUACAAUCUGACUUCUGUCUGCCAGAUCUUUCUUUCUAUUUUUUGCCAGUUGAAGCAAUGCCAGCCUACCAGUACACCAACAGGUUAAAGUAGAUGAAGCCAGCAACUGUUUACAACUUUUACUGGACACACCAUCGGCCUGACCCAAUGAUGACAUUUCUUAUGGUCCUAGACUUUACUAAAUCUUUGUCUACCUCUUGCACUAGGGUCAAUUUUGUCAGCUUUCUAGGAUAAUAAAGGAACUGUGUCCAUGUUCAA